rnacentral:lncRNA from 1 species
UGUUUCCAAUUGAGACUCUUCUCUGCCUGGGGCCACGCCCACAGUGAAAGCUCAUUGGUCCAGAUGCUUCAACUUCCUACACAAACAAACUUCUGCUGUAUUGCUAAAUUGAAAGAAGCAGCUUGUUGUCAUGGUGUAUUCUAAAGUCUGGAUUCAGGACAGAGGGACAGUAUUUUAGUUGCUGAUAUGUGAUGCUGACGCUGUGCUGCAUGAAGAAGUUUUCAUUUAUAAAUGUUGGACUUGUGCCCAGACUGCUAUGGUAGAAUCUGGAAGAAAACACAAUAAGGAGAAGAACGUCAGACCAAUUUUGCAGGAACAUAUGUGGGGGGGAAAAGGCUUUAACAAAAGACAUUUUUCGAACAGUGAAAGAACUAGACCAUGGACAAUAGUUAUGAAUCUUUAAAAAUCUAUCCUGCGUCAACCACUAUUAUCCAUGCAGAGUCAAAAGAAUGCUUUAUCUGUCGAGAAGGAGACGAGAUGGGUUGUGACGCUCUGCUGCACUUCUGUGACUGCAAAAACCUGAUUGCUCACCAGAAGUGUGUGUUAACCUGGAUACAAAAGAGUUCUGAUAAUCAAGAUAGAGCAAGAUGCAAAGUAUGUACAGCUGAGCACCCUCUAAAACUUUGGGUUCCUCUGCCCAAAUGCUCAUGUCAUCUUGGAGGCCAGGAUCUGAGAAUCCAGCCAAGCUGUGCUUUUUUCAGGACACCAGGGACAAAGAUGGUUUUAAGCCACCUUCAGACUCUGCUGGUCCCGGAGCCAGGAUCCUACACCUGGGAGGAAUCUCAUUGAUGUUAGAAGUGAAGUCCACAGGAUUCCAUGGAUGUGCACAGGUCUAUGCUAAUUUAAUGCAAAACAAUACAAGUAGGAGAGAGAGGGGGACAAUAACAGUAAUAAGAACAUGUUUACCUAGGUUAACUGCGUGCAUGACUUGAUGGUUCUGAUUCACUCAAAAGUUGUCUUCGUAAAUAAAUUCCAGCAACAUUGAGCA